CCUGAAAAUUCAACAGUUUAAGAGACAAAUCUUCUUCUCUGUCAUUGUGUACUCUACCGGGGGGUCAGUUUAUGGACAAUACUCUCAAGAACUUGUUUUCCUGCCUCAAAACACAGGCUUUAUUGUCUCAACUUACCAGCAGAAACGACUGCCCACAUCCCACAAUUCAUCAUAUGAUGAAGUAUUAGCAGAUUAUUUUGAGAAUAAUUCUGACCAAUAUGUACAAAAAAGGGUUUGUAUAUAAAUUUAGCAGAUUUUUAGCACAGAUGUUUCGGCUAUGACUUCUUCAACUUUUAACUUUUCACUAACAAUGAGCGUCAAGUGACUUUCUCAGAGUUGCCUUACUGAAAAUUUCCCAGGAUCAGACAUUAACAUGGGAAACUCUCAACGCACAACUACAACCAGCAAGGGAAGGAUCACGUGACGGACGGAGAAAGACUUUGGACACAUUGUGAUUGGAGAAUUGGACAUGAUGUCUAAUUUAUCAGAUUUUGAAAACCCUCGCAAGGCAGCUGGAUUCACAAGAUCACAGGAGAAUCCACCUCGACAGGCUUCAAGUUACGCGCUUGUGUCCGAACCACCGGUGGUUCAGAACAACAGCUGCCUUGCAAGGUUCACCACUCCAGCUCCCAGUACACCUACCACGUCAACCUCAUUUUCACCUGCUGUUUGCUAGUUUGGAUUGUGGAUUCCCUGUUUGCUCUGCUCUGCCCUGCCCUGCCUUGAGCCCCUCUGCCUGCUCCGCUCUGCCAUUCCCAGCCCCUUUGCCACAUCCAAAACCAAAAAACACUCAGCUAAGCCAUCAGAACCAUCUUCAACUCAAGCUACAAUAAACUGUCCUUAACCAUUCCUGCGUCUCCUGGUCUAUGUGUGCAUUUGGGUCCUAAAUUGAACUGUUAUAAUACAAAAAGCAAUGUCCCCUUUUCAACAUAUAAGAAGGUUAGGGUGGGGGAGGUAGCAUAUCAGCACAAUAAUAGUGAGAAGUAACAGGUUAUAAAGGCUGCCUUUUACACCUGUAUGGCUAUGAUUGGAUGUUACCUGUCAGCUAACAGCCAAACAGGAGCCACUGAGUCAACUGAUGCAAAUCAUCUAUAUGCAAGUCCGACUUCAGAGCUCUGUCUGAACUACAACAAUACACCAUAACAUUA